UGAAGCUUGUGAGAUUUUGAUGUCAUUGGCAUCUAGCAAUAUUUUACCACCGGAUUCCUUGCAAUUUUCUCUUGGUGAUUCGAGUGUGAAUCAGGGGUUAAGCCAAAUUUUGGAUGGUUCAAGUUGGAAUUAUGCAAUUUUUUGGCGUGUGGUUAGCUUGAAAUCUGGGGCUUUAGCUUUGAUUUGGGGUGAUGGGAACUGUCAUGAUUCAAAGAUUGAGAUUGG
rnacentral:misc_RNA from 1 species